rnacentral:rRNA from 1 species
CCUACGGGUGGCAGCAGUGAGGAAUAUUGGUCAAUGGGCGAGAGCCUGAACCAGCCAAGUCGCGUGAAGGAUGACGGCCCUACGGGUUGUAAACUUCUUUUGUCAGGGAGCAAUUGGGUCCACGUGUGGAUGUUUGCAGGUACCGCAUGAAUAAGGACCGGCUAAUUCCGUGCCAGCAGCCGCGGUAAUACGGAAGGUCCGGGCGUUAUCCGGAUUUAUUGGGUUUAAAGGGAGCGUAGGCCGGUCUUUAAGCGUGCCGUGAAAUUUUGUGGCUCAACCAUGAGAGUGCGGCGCGAACUGGAGACCUUGAGUGCGCGGAAGGCAGGCGGAAUUCGUGGUGUAGCGGUGAAAUGCUUAGAUAUCACGAAGAACCCCGAUUGCGAAGGCAGCCUGCCGCAGCGUUACUGACGCUGAAGCUCGAAAGCGCGGGUAUCGAACAGGAUUAGAUACCCUAGUAGUC